CGGAACGUAAUCGACGGGCCCCGUCGCAGAGACAUCUCGCGCCGUCGCCGCAGAUCGCGCUUGGUCGGUACCUCCUCUGUCAUCGCUGGUCGUAUCGCGCGCGUAUCACGCCAUAUCUCGCGACCGCCGUUAUCGCACAUCAUCCGAUCUGCGGCAAUUGCGUACCGGCGGUCUCCCGGCCGUCCGACACGUUCGCGAUAACUCCCCUCCCCUCAUCACCCACCCAGAGACACACCGGAGACCAUCUCAGGGAUAGUGACGACGGUGUUUUUCCAUACCAAUAGCGGUUACGUACACGCAUUAUGAUAUCGUGAUAGCCACAACGGCCGUACCCGCGGUAACGACCCCUCAGCGUCACCACUAUACCACCAACACCUGCCCGAAACCCAUCAGAGACCUGACGACGACGACAAAAACGAUCCCGGUUAACGGCUUUCCGACGGCGGCGGUCGUCGCGUCGCACAGCCGCAGCGCCCGCGUACGCCACUCGCGAUGGACCACCGCUGCCGCGGCCAGCUAAACGGCUGCGUCCCGGUGACAGUCUUUGACGGCGGUUUCGAUCGUACCGGCGGCGGCUGCGGCGGCGGCGGUAUCGUCUGCCGUACCGGUACCGGUCGCGUCGCUAGCAGUGCGCGGGCGGACAACAGCGGUACCGGCGCCGCGGGCAGCGGUGCAGGAAUCGGCAGCAACAUCACCUGCAGCACUGGUACCUGCAGCGGCAGCGGUCCGACCACGGAAACGCUCGUCCGACGCCGACGCGAGAUCUGUUGGGUUUUGCGGUCGGGUCGCAUUUUUGCGUAAGGAUCGUAUGGUGUUUGGCUUUAGGGCUGGCUGCGAUAAUGUGGCACUCGGGUGGAAUGGGCAGCCACGGCGGUGGCUGGAUGAAGCUGAUGGGAAUGGUGCACAGGGACCGGAGAUCGGCGCAACGGCACGUACAGGACGCCGCUACAGCAUUGCUGGCUCCUAUCGACAGGUCGCUGCCGAAACUCAGUACCCAAGACGAAGACGGCUGUGGUCCAGGGGCAAAUCUUGGCACAGGCCUCACACACGGUCAUCCUCAACACUGUUCGGGGAGCGCGACAUUCGAACCGAUACCGCACGACCACGACUUCUGCGAAAGAGUUACAAUCAACGUGAGCGGUAUGAGGUUCGAGACGCAGCUACGGACGUUGAAUCAGUUCCCGGAUACGCUGCUGGGCGACCCGUGUCGGAGGAUGCGGUACUUCGAUCCGCUGCGCAACGAGUACUUCUUCGACAGGAACCGGCCGACGUUCGACGCCAUACUCUACUAUUACCAGAGCGGCGGCCGGCUGAGGAGGCCAACUACGGUGCCGUUGGACGUGUUCUCCGAGGAGAUAAAGUUCUACGAGCUUGGCGAACUGGCCACCAAUAAAUUUAGGGAAGAAGAGGGUUUUAUAAAAGAAGAAGAGAAACCACUGCCAAAGCCCGAGUUCCAGCGGAAGGUGUGGCUGCUGUUCGAGUACCCGGAGAGCUCUCAAGCCGCCCGGGUGGUGGCCAUCAUAUCCGUGUUCGUCAUACUACUGUCCAUCGUUAUAUUCUGCCUGGAAACGUUGCCAGAGUUCAAACACUACAAGGUGUUCAACACGACGACCAACGGUACGAAAAUCGAGGAGGACGAGGUGCCUGACAUCACCGACCCGUUCUUCUUGAUCGAGACCAUUUGCAUCGUGUGGUUCACGUUCGAGCUGUCCGUCCGCUUUCUCGCCUGCCCCAACAAGUUGCACUUCUUCAAGGACGUGAUGAACACGAUCGACAUAAUCGCUAUAAUACCGUACUUCAUCACGUUGGCCACGGUAAUUGCCGAGGAGGAGGAUCCCACGAUGAACCUGCCCAAGGCGCCGCAGAACCCGCAGGACAAGAGCACCAACCAGGCCAUGUCACUGGCCAUACUCAGGGUCAUCCGGCUCGUGAGGGUUUUCAGGAUAUUCAAACUGUCCCGACAUUCCAAGGGAUUGCAAAUUCUCGGGCGCACCCUGAAAGCCUCAAUGCGAGAACUGGGAUUGCUCAUAUUUUUCUUGUUUAUCGGUGUGGUGCUAUUCUCGAGCGCGGUGUACUUCGCCGAAGCCGGCUCAGAGAAUUCCUUCUUCAAGUCCAUCCCGGACGCAUUCUGGUGGGCUGUUGUUACCAUGACGACUGUGGGCUAUGGUGACAUGACGUAUGAUACCAGUGGGCGUGUGGGGGAAAAUUGUCGGUUCGCUGUGCGCGAUUGCCGGCGUGCUCACAAUCGCACUGCCCGUGCCCGUCAUCGUGUCCAACUUCAACUAUUUCUAUCACAGAGAGACUGACCAAGAAGACAUGCAAUCGCAGAACUUCAACCACGUCACCAGCUGUCCUUAUCUUCCCGGUACUUUAGGUCAACACAUGGUGAAAUAUCCGUCGGGCGGCGACUCGACGUCGGACCUGAUGGAUUUGGAGUCGGCCGACAAUUGUCUGCUGGACGCGGAGCUGGACGAACCACCACUGUCGUUGCCGCCGCCGCAGCAACCCAAA
rnacentral:misc_RNA from 1 species